rnacentral:rRNA from 1 species
GUGCGAGCGUUGUCCGGAAUUAUUGGGCGUAAAGAGCUCGUAGGCGGUGUGUCGCGUCGGCCGUGAAAACCUGCAGCUUAACUGUGGGCUUGCGGUCGAUACGGGCAUCACUGGAGUUCGGCAGGGGAGACUGGAAUUCCUGGUGUAGCGGUGAAAUGCGCAGAUAUCAGGAGGAACACCGGUGGCGAAGGCGGGUCUCUGGGCCGAUACUGACGCUGAGGAGCGAAAGCGUGGGGAGCGAACAGG